AUUUGGCUCUGGACACUUGAGCAACUGAGUGUCUUACAUAUGCACAGAGCCCACAAGCUGCCAUGAGCUAUUUCUACAUGUAACUAGGUGACUACGCCUUGCAACCUUCCUACGUUAUAGCCUUUUAACUUCA